ACCCCUUGUACAACCUUAUAGUGGUGGCAAUGAGGACAGCAGCAUAAAGGUAUUCUCCUGUAUCUGCGCAUCCUGGAGAAACCCUUCACAUAAAGGAGUUCCCAGAUGACAUUUUCACUGGGUUUACAGACCCUGCAUGCUGUCAGAGCUGGCAUAAUGGUUUAAUGGCCACACUUGCCCAAGAAACAGGCCGAGGAUCAAAGACUCACUGGGGAUUGUUCAAACCAUUAGGAAGUACUGCCUUGGAGCCAAAUUGACCCCAGGGAGUUCAGUGGAGUCACAGCAGUGAUUACUUGACUGCCAAGACUACAGGCUAAAUUAAUCUUGUCUCUAAAGAAGCAAAUCCACAGCCUUUCAGCAGAAUCAUAGAACGGGAGGUUGGAAGGGACCACCAGAGCUCAUCUAGUUCAACCCGCUGCCAGAGGCAGGAUCAUCCUUAUCCAAACCAUCAUAUACAAAAGUUGAGCACCACUUGUCUAACCUAUUAGCAAAACUACACAGUAAACCCUGGCACAACCACUGUAACCCGAUGCAGGUAAAGCAGGGGUACCACGGUGGCUCAUGUUCUGCUGUUGCAAGGAAGAGGGCCCCUGCUAAAGAAAAAGCAGAUGACCAGAAAAUUGAACUCUCCCAACAGUACCAUUUCAAAAUUUUUGGACAUUUUUGUCACCUCUUUGAAGUGCAUCUCAUCCACCUCUUCUUUCUGACUUGGUGACCUAUGAUAGAUACAGAACUGAUUUAUUGGUGGGGAUCUUAUACCUUUUAUCUUCAGCGACAUACAUUCUGAUCUGAUAUCUUCCUCCUGAACCAAGGGACAAGUGAAUAUGUUUUUGACAUACAAGGAGAGAGGAAUCUACUAGGGGAAGAAAAAGUGCACUCCACUAUGCCCUGGGUAGGAAAGAUAUCUCAUUGAAUACCACUGUCUUCUUCCAAUGACCCUUCCACAGAUACAUCUCCCAAAUUCAGGCCUGAUCAUGCUGGGCACCACCAAUAAGAGUCAGAUGAAGUACUCCUGACUGGGCACCUGUCUGAGCCUCCUCUUUGGCUGUUUACACGGUAAAGUUUAUAUUGUCCAGUACAAACCAGAGUUCUGUUUUACAGCAAACUGGUGCCUGUGCUGUGUUGGCAUAUGUGACUCCUGUGUUCAGAAAGUGAUUUGUCACUUUUCAUAUGAAAACAAACUGAUGCGUUUAUGGUGACCAAUACUUAGAAUACAAUUCCUACCAUUAUGAAUGUGUUCUUCCCCAGAUAUGCCAGACGUAAGCUUUUUGCUUACCUUUCCUUUGUCUACUGAAAAUGAAGUCUGAGUUAUUAUUCACCCAGUUCCAGUGAGUCAUUCUACACCCUUGAAUUAUUUCUGACAUAUGUGAAAUACCUUCCACUGAAUUCCUACUCUGGAGAGCCCUUUGCCUGACCGGUUUAUCAGUGAAUGCUACCAGACUCAUCAUUUACUAUGCAUCACCGUCAUGGCAUGUGCAAUACUAAACAUGAUGACAAGACCAACUAGACCCACCCAUUUUAUUUCUGUAGCCCAUAUCUUCAAGAGCCUUGUGCAGCCGCACCAAUCUCAUGCACAAGAGAAAGAAGUUCGUCCUGGGAAGAGGGGCAGGCAGCAGGACUCUGGUUCUCAGCACUACAUGUAGAAGGAGGAAAUUGGGUCUGUACAAGAUGCGGUUGGGUUGUUCAUGCAGAGAGAAACAGUGAGGCCUAAAUACAAUGUAUAAGGAAUACAUUUCUGCUGAAUUUUGGCUUUAUUUUCACAGCUAAAUAAAAACUGUACUUUUCCUAUGGUGUAAUUAAUGUGCAGUUAGCUGUACUACUGUACAAGCCUAGUGGAGAAAAAGGCCUUUCCAUAUUAUUGUAACAUAAAGCAGGGAAGGGCAGCCCAUAUUCCUCCCCUGCCAAAGGUGGGCAUUAGCUAGUUUGCCUCACUGUAAAAUGAAAUUGCCUUGUCGUGAGUAAAGCUCCAAGUCCUGGAAAAGCCAAGCUCAGUGUACUUCCCUGGGUUUGAAUACUCUGCAGCAUUUGUGGUGGUAGCAAUUACUUAACUGGCAGGGGAGAUAGAUGCCAUGAUCACCAAGGUGGUUAUCCCAGGGAGAGAGAAUUAUACUCCAGGCAGGCUGACCCCUGUGAGUUUUUCUGAGUGCAGGAAACUCGACUGCACAAUUCUUUGGCAACGUGGCUUGCUUCUCAGCCUUUUGACUAGAUGCAAACAUGCAUGACUAGGGAGAAUCUGAAUCCCAAGGUCGCUGGACUUGCACAUGGGAUACCUGCCAUGGAUCUGGGGAAUAUCUGAAGCCCAAGACUUAUGGAUCUGGAGGAAGGAUACUUGACCAUUAGUACAGCCACACACACAGACUUGAAUGAUGAAGUUCUGCUCAGUUGCAAUUUGGAACUUGGCUUUGCCUAAUAGAAUUCGGAGCUGAUUUGGCCCUUGAAAUAAGUUUAAAAAAAUUGUUGUGAUAGAUGGUUUAGUAGGUGCCCAGGGCUCAAAAAGAUUAUGCUGUUUAACAGGUUUCAUUAUGCAUUACUUGGCCCAUAGCAAGAAAAUAUACAUGCUAAUUCAAUUGUUAGCGAUCAAUUAGUUCUAAUAUUAAAGCUCUGUCUUGUACAUGCUGUUUUCUUAUUAAAGGACAGCUGAAUUGAAUACCCAUAACUUCAGCAGCAGUAUAAAACUUGCUUUCAUCAGGAAAUGAGGCUGAUGUGCAUCAGCUGGAGAUUGGAUUCUAAUGCUGCCCACAAGACAUAGUAAGACCUAGUCCAAUGUGUGAUUGAAGGAAGUGGCUCUACUAUUCAAAAGCAGGAACUUAGGAUCUGUUCUAGGGAAGGUGGUGCCAUUUAAACAAAAUCUUGGUUAGUUUAAAAGUGGAUUGAACUUCGGUUAAUGUUAAUUAUAAUUUUUUUUAGAUCCUCAAGAACUUGCAGAUGUGAAUCUUUGACUUGCAAUGAUAAACCUGAUUUUUUUCAUUCUUUUCAGCACAACCUGUUUGAUUAUUAGUUAUUGCUUGGUGUUAACUUGAUUUGUUUUAAGGCCGUGUUCUUUAUGCUUAAAUGUAGUGAAUAGACUAUGUUUUAUAUUGCACUUAUCUCUUAUUUUCUUGACGACUGUUGUAAUUUAGACACGUCUUGUGUGUGCAUAGGGCAAUGGAUUUCUACUUGUAUGCAGGUGACUAAAUAUGUACAUUUUUCAUAUGUAUUAUCUUGAGGGGAUCUACAUGGGACAGCAGUAGGAGCUGAUCUGUCAUUUCUCUAUUCUCUGUAAAUCCACUGGAUUGAGACAGCUGGAUAGAAACAAUUAAUCAAGGUGUCAGUUUUGGUCACAUUUUUUUGUCAUGUUCCUUAGCUAACUCUGUUUUAUGCAUUAAAAAAUAACUUCAGUGUGAACAGGACUAGACUUCCCUCAAGCUCAUUUAAGAAAGAGGAGCUGUACACAUACCAGUAUUUCCUGGGGUAAUAACCCUUCACAUUCUUUGUGGAGUCAGAGUAAUUACAGUAGAAGUCUAGAAACUUCUUGGUUUGCUCUUACUCUUUGGGUAGCUGCCUAGGGCAGUGUGAGCCAGCUAACAGCUGUGCAGGCACUCCCCUAGGAGUAGUCAGGUAUACGAAUCCCCACCCUAGUAAAGGUUACAGAGGAUAAAGCCACACAUUCUGAAGGAAUAAAGAGCCUCUUUGCUUGCUUGUUCCCAAAGGAGCUCUGCUAUAAGAAGCAAGCCAAACUUGGACCUGAUUCCACAAACUUCUCCUUCCCCAAGUACCCUUACAGGAGUCAGUAACAUUCCUCCUGUGAAUAUGGGAUGUGGGAUAAUGACCCUUGCUGUUCAUUCUUAAAGGAGCAAUACUAUUUUUGCAUGUAAUGCUAAAAUAUGUAUGUAUUAUAUAUAGUAUAUUGGCAUCUCCCUUAGAAAUGCAUGUUACAAAAAGUGAAAUAUCAGACACAUAUAGUAUACCUAGAAAAUGCUCACAUUUUCCUUAUUUGAAAUGUUUAGAAUUUCCUCAAUCUGUAUUAUCUUUAGUGAUUUCCCUGGUAGCUUGGAAGCUAACUUUACUUGUGCCAAUAAUGAAUGUCAGCCCAUAGGCACUUAAAGUGUCAAAUACACAACUAAAACACAUUUUUUUUAUCACAUUACAGCUGCUGACUAUUGCAGAUUUGGACCAUGAAGCCCAUUAAAGCUUCUGAGAUCAAAUGAAAAACUAAAUUAUUUACAACACAGCACAAACAUAUCCUGUAAAUACAUUAAGGCAUUUUGUUUGUGGUAUGCACUAAGGCCAAUCUAAUAAAUUGUACUUAUUAUAUUCUCUAUAUAUUUUGCAAGUGCUCUAAAGAUACCUUCAAAAUAAAAUGGCUUAGGAUGAGAUAUUGAUUUAGGAUGAUAAAAUAUAUUUAUUCAUAAUGUACCAACAUUUUCCCAAGCUGCUUUUUGUAUUAUUCUCUUUGAGGAUGUUUCUGAGAUGUAGAAAUACUCAUGUUUUAAUAGGUCAGACCCCUAUGCUACUGAAAUCAGUGGGUACAACAUGGGUGGACUGGCUCCUAGAUUGAUCCUUAAAGCAAAAUAUUAGCUUUGUUGUUGUACUAGAAAGAACUCCUCUAUUCUUCACAAUGCAGCUGUAUCCUGAAAAUGGUAUAAAAUAAUUAUGUUCAGUAUAGCUGGAGUAACACUAACAAAUGGCUACCAUUUAAACAUGAUGGUGCAUGUACCAUACUUAUGGUCAUUUUUUUGCUUGCAGAGUUUGCAUCCAAACCCACCAGAGAAAGAAAAUGUAUUAUUUAAAGAAAAAUCAGGUUAAGAUAUUGUUGCAAUGACCCUGAUGAGUGAGUUUUUUUCCUUCAGUUGAAACUGAGCUUCAAUAAGGCAUACUGGGACAGAUUUUCCAGCCCACUCAAGCACAGCUGUUGCACAGUGGAGACUGGGGGCUGUCAGGGGUCUGUUCAGCUCCCUGGUUCUGAAAUACCCGACCCUGGCAUAAGUUAAAGGUUCAGAAAAGCAAGUCUAACUCACAUUCGCAUUAUGUCAGUGGUGGAAGAUGUGGAAAGAAACACUACUCUAUCCUACUGCUCCCCAGUCCCUACUGUGUCCCUGGUACACUACAACGUACCUCCAGUAUUUCUGUAUUCCUACAGUGGGCAAGAGUGUGCAGCUGAUGAUACAGACAUCCUUGCCAGACUUUCUGCUGACAGAAGGUUCCCUACUCAGGAAGAUUUAGCACCAGGUAUCUCAAGACAGAUCAGGCCUACUUUGUGCUGCAUUAGGUUCCAGCCCAUGUAGUAGCAAUGAGUCAGGCUAUAGUGUGGUAGAUUAGUACCAAGACCUCAGUCCCCUUGUGUAUUGCACUACUUAAUGAGUGUGAGCACCUGCUCUUUCCUCAUAUUGGACAUGCAUGAAUGAGAUCUUCUACAAGUGGAUUCUCCAUUAUCCAUGCUGAAGGAGGGAAUGCUGCUUUGUGAACCCCCCCACCCCCCCACCACCUGUGCCCCUGAUUCCCCUACAAUAUCACAGAAGCCUUUUGGAGCCAGAUUUUGUGGGGUGGAGCUGAGGUAGGAAAACGCAAAGCAGACCUCCUGGAUUCCUGCAUGGAAAUAACAUCAAGAAUGAAUGUUGCUUAGAGCAGACUAAAUCACUCUGGGAGUGGGCCCCUCUGUGAUCGGUACACAGCUGUCAAUUUACCAAUUUCUACAUGGUUCAUUUGGAAUUAUGGUGCACCAGGAGAGGGGAACUCCAUUACAGCCAUAAGGACAACAGCUAUGCAUGCAGGAUAAGAUCUGUCUCAGAGAUUCAAGUGACUUUCCUGCAUUAGCUGGAUCCAUGAGGCUGGAAGCCAUCAUUCCCUAUAGAUUCUGGGGCCCUCAAUACCCUUCCCUUGGUAUACCCUAAGAUCAUCUGUCUCUUGUUCUUAAUGCAGCACUACCAUUUUUCAGUACCAUGUCUCCUCUUUUAUUUUGUUGACAUGGAGAAUCUUGAAAGGGUGCAGAGAAGGGUCACAAGAAUGAUUAAGGGCCUGGAGGACAAACCUUAUGAGGAAAGACUAAGGGAUCUGGGACU